CUGAAGGAGAGUCUUCCUCACUCCUCACAUACCCUCACACAUGCUCCCCCAACCUCACCCCCUCCCAGAACCACACAUCUCCGACUCCCCUUUAAAAAAAAAAAAAUUAUUCCUACACUCUUUAUUGUUGGCUUGUUGUUGUUCUUGAGGGAGAUGCUCUCUCCCACCAUCAUAUCAGCUCCAAGGUGUAACCCAGGGCGGGCAUCAGGCUCAGUACCUUUACCUGUGGAGCCCCCUCAGCGGCCGCCCCUCUCACUCCACUUGUCACGAGACUCCAUCAUGAGCUGUGACUCCCAAGCCCUGUAGCACUAAAAUAGAAAUUUUUCCCCCACUUGACCACAACAGAAGGCCGUGGGGGAAUCCUCCGGGCCUCGGCCCUCUCUUUGGGGACUUGACUGGAUCUCAAGCACUGCUUGCUAAGGCACAGUUCUGUCAUGGGUGCCCACCAAGCAGCUGGGGACUCGCUGUCCCGGGAGUCGAGAUCAUAAUGAAAGAGACAAAACCACCACUCUGUGCCCCGAAUGUCCUCUGGACUCUGCUCCAUACAGAUGCAUCCCACACACUCCCACACCUACAUCUCUGGGCCUUUCGGUGACCUGGAAUGUCCUGCCUUUGUGUCUGCGAAUUGAAACACUUCUAAAAAUGUUUUUAAAGUAGAAAGCCACUCACCCCGCUCCCGAGUCUCAGGCUUCUCAACUGCCAGAUGAGAACAAUGCUCUCAUGGGCUAUUUCACAAGGAUUUCCGAGAGCUGUGAAAGCAUCCUG
rnacentral:lncRNA from 1 species